rnacentral:rRNA from 1 species
CCUACGGGCGGCUGCAGUGGGGAAUAUUGGACAAUGGGCGAAAGCCUGAUCCAGCCAUGCCGCGUGUGUGAAGAAGGCCUUCGGGUUGUAAGGCACUUUCAGUGGGGAAGAAAGCCUUGGGGCUAAUACCCUCGAGGAAGGACAUCACCCACAGAAGAAGCACCGGCUAACUCCGUGCCAGCAGCCGCGGUAAUACGGAGGGUGCGAGCGUUAAUCGGAAUUACUGGGCGUAAAGCGCGCGUAGGCGGUCUGAUAAGCCGGUUGUGAAAGCCCCGGGCUCAACCUGGGAACGGCAUCCGGAACUGUCAGGCUAGAGUGCAGGAGAGGAAGGUAGAAUUCCCGGUGUAGCGGUGAAAUGCGUAGAGAUCGGGAGGAAUACCAGUGGCGAAGGCGGCCUUCUGGACUGACACUGACGCUGAGGUGCGAAAGCGUGGGUAGCAAACAGGAUUAGAUACCCGUGUAGUC